AGGUAAGCUACUAAGAGCAAAUGGUGGAUGCCUUGGCUAGUAGAGGCGAUGAAAGACGUGCUAGGCUGCGAUAAGUCUCGGGGAGCCGUCAAGGGGCUUUGAUCCGGGAAUUUCUGAAUGGGGCAACCCAGUAUAUAGUGAUAUAUACUACCGCAAUGCGGAGCGAACGUUGGGAAUUGAAACAUCUUAGUACCAACAGGAAGAGAAAUCAAACGAGAUUACGCUAGUAGCGGCGAGCGAAAGCGUAAGAGGGCAAACCACUAGCUUGCUAGUGGGGUUGUAGGACUGCAAUAUAGACUUAAACAAUCUAAUAGAAUAAGCUGGAAAGCUUAAGCAUAGAGGGUGAUACUCCCGUAUAUGAAAGUGCGUUUAUACUUAGCAGUAUCCUGAGUAGGGCGGGACACGUGUAAUCCUGUCUGAAGCUGGGUAGACCACUAUCCAACCCUAAAUACUACUACUAGACCGAUAGUGCACAAGUACCGUGAGGGAAAGGUGAAAAGAACUGAGGUGAUCAGAGUGAAAUAGAACCUGAAACCAUUUGCUUACAAUCAUUCAGAGCCCUAUGAUUUAUCAGGGUGAUGGACUGCCUUUUGCAUAAUGAGCCUGCGAGUUGUGGUGUCUGGCGAGGUUAAGGAAACCCGGAGCCGUAGCGAAAGCGAGUCUUAAUAGGGCGUAUAGUCAGAUGCUGCAGACCCGAAACGAUGUGAUCUAUCCAUGAGCAGGUUGAAACUGGUGUAAGAGCCAGCGGAGGACCGAACAGACGGCCGUUGAAAAGGCUCCUGAUGACUUGUGGAUAGGGGUGAAAGGCCAAUCAAACAUCGUGAUAGCUGGUUCUCUCCGAAAUAUAUUUAGGUAUAGCGUUGUGUAGUAACUUUGUGAGGUAGAGCACUGAAUGGGCUAGGGCAUACACCAAUGUACCAAACCCUAUCAAACUCCGAAUGCGCAAAGUGUAAUCACAGCAGUCAGGCGGCGAGUGAUAAAAUCCGUCGUCAAGAGGGGAACAACCCAGACUAACAGCUAAGGUCCCUAAAUCUCAUUUAAGUGGAAAACGAUGUGAAGUUACUUUAACAACCAGGAGGUUGGCUUAGAAGCAGCCAUCCUUUAAAGAAAGCGUAAUAGCUCACUGGUCUAGUGAUUUCGCGCGGAAAAUAUAACGGGGCUAAAAUGAGUACCGAAGCUUUAGAGCGGAUAGAAGUGAGCAUGCAGGCAUGAGUAGCGAUAAAAGGGGUGAGAAUCCCCUUCGCCGUAAACCCAAGGUUUCCUACGCGAUGCUCGUCAUCGUAGGGUUAGUCGGGUCCUAAGCAAAGUCCAAAAGGGGUAUGCGAUGGAAAAUCGGUUAAUAUUCCGAUACCAAUAUUAGUGUGCGAUGGAAGGACGCUUAAAGUUAGUGGAGCUAGCGGAUGGAAGUGCUAGUCUAAGGAUGUAGAUUAAGUGGUAGGCAAAUCCGCCACUUUUUAUUCGAGAUCUUAAAGGCUCUCCAAAGUCUUCGGAUAGCGGGGAGAAUCCAUGAUACUAUCGAGCCAAGAAAAGUUUCUAAGUUUAGCUAAUAUUGCCCGUACCGUAAACCGACACAGGUGGGUGGGAUGAGUAUUCUAAGGCGCGUGGAAGAACUCUCUUUAAGGAACUCUGCAAAAUAGCACCGUAUCUUCGGUAUAAGGUGUGCCUAACUUUGUAUUAAGAUUUACUCCCAAAGCAAAGAAGGUUACAACAAAGAGUCCCUCCCGACUGUUUACCAUAAACACAGCACUCUGCUAACUCGUAAGAGGAUGUAUAGGGUGUGACGCCUGCCCGGUGCUCGAAGGUUAAUUGAUGGGGUUAGCAUUAGCGAAGCUCUUGAUCGAAGCCCGAGUAAACGGCGGCCGUAACUAUAACGGUCCUAAGGUAGCGAAAUUCCUUGUCGGUUAAAUACCGACCUGCAUGAAUGGCGUAACGAGAUGGGAGCUGUCUCAAAGAGGGAUCCAGUGAAAUUGUAGUGGAGGUGAAAAUUCCUCCUACCCGCGGCAAGACGGAGAGACCCCGUGGACCUUUACUACAGCUUGACACUGCUAUUUGGAUAAAGAUGCGCAGGAUAGGUGGGAGGCUUUGAUCCAUAGACUCCGGUUUAUGGUGAGCCAUUGUUGAGAUACCACUCUUCUUUAUUUGAGUAGCUAACUAGCUUGCGUUAUCCGCAAGUAGGACAAUGUCUGGUGGGUAGUUUGACUGGGGCGGUCGCCUCCCAAAAUGUAACGGAGGCUUACAAAGGUUGGCUCAGAACGGUUGGAAAUCGUUCGUAGAGUAUAAAGGCAUAAGCCAGCUUAACUGCAAGACAUACACGUCAAGCAGAGACGAAAGUCGGUCUUAGUGAUCCGGUGGUUCUGUGUGGAAGGGCCAUCGCUCAAAGGAUAAAAGGUACCCCGGGGAUAACAGGCUGAUCUCCCCCAAGAGCUCACAUCGACGGGGAGGUUUGGCACCUCGAUGUCGGCUCAUCGCAUCCUGGGGCUGGAGCAGGUCCCAAGGGUAUGGCUGUUCGCCAUUUAAAGCGGUACGCGAGCUGGGUUCAGAACGUCGUGAGACAGUUCGGUCCCUAUCUGCCGUGGGCGUAAGAAGAUUGAGGAGAGUUGACCCUAGUACGAGAGGACCGGGUUGAACCAGCCACUGGUGUAUCAGUUGUUCUGCCAAGAGCAUCGCUGAGUAGCUAAGCUGGGAUGUGAUAAGAGCUGAAAGCAUCUAAGCUCGAAGCCAACUCCAAGAUGAAUCUUCUUUUAAGAGCUCUAGUAGACUACUAGUUUGAUAGGCUGGGUGUGUAAGUGAUGAGAGUCAUUUAGCUGACCAGUACUAAUAGCUCGUUUGCUUAUCUUUAU
rnacentral:rRNA from 1 species